UAUUAUCACAAUAAAUAAUAAUAAUUUUUGUUUCCUUUUUUUUUAAUAGAUUUUUUGAAAUAUUCUUUUCUUAAUUUUUUUACGGAUCUAGAGUUUAUCCUUCUCCUUCCUCUCUCUUACCUCAUCUAUGGCUUCAAAUCUUAUCAAUGUCAAAAUAUCAACGCUAAAUUGCAUAUAUGGUGCACCUAUUUUUUCAAGUGGAAUAUUACUGCUUUUAUUUUUGGGAGAUACCAUUUAAGAUCUUUCAUCAUUCGUUCGUAUGAUGAUAUUGCAACAGAAGCCUGGAUCAAGCCUAACAGCAUCAAGGAAGCAUAUGAAAGCUGGUGUAUGAGGGAGAAGUUCGAAAAUACAUCAUAAAGGGUUGAAAUGGUACCUGCUACAGUGCUGCUAUAUUUUGGUGCAUCUGUAAUGAACAAAAUCGAAGAUGUUUUCAUGGGAUUUCAACACCUACGCAUGUACUCAAAGCAAAAUGCUUAUUGUUUUUGUUUACUUGGCUCAAGCAAGCCCCUAUAACUAGGUUGUGUUCAACUUUCGGAUUGUGUUUGCUCCUUAAUUAUUGAUUGAAUAGUUAUUUUGUGUUUA